GGAAAUGUGAGUGCUGCAAGUCAAGCUCUUGCUCAACCCACCAUCGGUAUUCAGGAGAAAGCUUACACAGCUGCUUCUCAGCAACUGCUAAUAACAAAGUACCCUCCUACCUUCCUGUACAUAAUGGCAGUAUUUUUAACUAGGUGACCUGCAGGUCUUGGCUGUCAACAUCUGGGUGAAAGUUCUGCAUCUUUAUUUUUCCUAGCAACAAGGAAGAAAAUGGAGGAAUUGUGGGGGGAAUCUCUUUAAGGAGAAAGAAGUGGUGGUGAUCAAAUACCUGCUGUCAGAUGAUACAAAAACCUCACUUCAAAUUUUCUGCACAGAGCUGAACAGGUCAAGCGUUUCUCACUUGAGAUUCUUCUCUGUAGCUUCAGUUAAGACCUCAGAAACCUACCCUAACUAAAUUCAUUUGUAUGGCACUUACCUUGGACAUCCUCCAGCAACCAGAGAAAGCAGCUCUUCAAAAUGUGUGGAGGAAGCCACCAGAUCAUGGUGCUCUGCAAAAACUUGGAAGGAGGAAUACGUAAGAUCAGUAAGGACAAGAACACAGUGGUGGACAGCCCAAAGUGGCCUUUUGUAGGUACUUCUCAAGGUACUUUAUUACACAGCUGUUAUUGUUGCAGUAAUGAGAAUAUUCCCAGUGUUAAGGAGCCUUUCCUUAUGGCAAAACAGAAGAGCCUCAUUUCUUCAUCUUUUUGACUGUAAAUGCAAGGCAAAAUUCAGUGGUCUGCUGAGCCUCAGCUAGAAUUCUUAGUGGGAACUGUACUACUGGAGCACAUACAGAGGCAGCACCAGACAGAUCGUCUCCCAAGUCUAUCUGGGUUGAACUUGGAUAACUCAGGAGGACAAAAAGAGAUCCAUAACAACCUGGUAAUGCUGCACCAGCUUUGCUCUCUGAAAUUCUGGAAGUCCUUACACAAACAAAAUUGAAGUACAGUGCGUUGUACAAAUAAGACUGAAACACAGUGAAGCAGAUUUCAAUAAGGAAGAGUAUGCAGCAGGGGCUGUGCCUGGAGCAGGACUCCCCCGGCCCUACACAGCACACAUUAUUAACAACCCAGAGAGCACAGCCAAGCCAUCUCACUUAAUGAAAGUCUGAUGCCAUGGAAGGACUGUGUGUACAACAGUGCAGCGAGGGACACUGCUGAAAGCGUUGUUUGUACAAAGACUUGCUCUUCCUGCCUCUCCCUUCUCCAUAUUUCGUGGUAACCAGGGGUGCAAAAUGUAUAUUACAUUAUUGCAGAGGAAAUUAAAGCAGGCUCUUUAUUGAGGAAAGUCUUGCAGAGGAGCUGAAAGCUGGCACUUUCACCUGAAUGACUGAGAGAGGCAACUGGUGUUUCAACAGCCUUCCUUUUUCUUCCC
ensembl:lncRNA